GCAAGCAUUGUCCGGAUUUACUGGGCGUAAAGAGCGUGUAGGCGGCCAAACAGGUCCGUUGUGAAAACUGGAGGCUCAACUUCCAGACGUCGACGGAAACCGUGUGGCUAGAGUCCGGAAGAGGAGAGUGGAAUUCCUGGUGUAGCGGUGAAAUGCGCAGAUAUCAAGAAGAACACCAAUGGCGAAGGCAGCUCUCUGGGACGGUACUGACGCUGAGACGCGAAAGCGUGGGGAGCGAACAGG
rnacentral:rRNA from 1 species